AGUGAACGCUGGCGGUAGGCCUAACACAUGCAAGUCGAACGGCAGCACAGUAAGAGCUUGCUCUUACGGGUGGCGAGUGGCGGACGGGUGAGGAAUAUAUCGGAAUCUACUUUUUCGUGGGGGAUAACGUAGGGAAACUUACGCUCAUACCGCAUACGACCUACGGGUGAAAGCAGUGGAUCUUCGGACCUUGCGCGAUUGAAUGAGCCGAUGUCGGAUUAGCUAGUUGGCGGGGUAAAGGCCCACCAAGGCGACGAUCCGUAGCUGGUCUGAGAGGAUGAUCGGCCACACGGGAACUGAGACACGGUCCAGACUCCUACGGGAGGCAGCAGUGGGGAAUAUUGGGCAAUGGGCGCAAGCCUGAUCCAGCCAUACCGCGUGGGUGAAGAAGGCCUUCGGGUUGUAAAGCCCUUUUGUUGGGAAAGAAAAGCAGCAGGUUAAUACCCCGCUGUUCUGACGGUACCCAAAGAAUAAGCACCGGCUAACUUCGUG
rnacentral:rRNA from 1 species